UACGUAGGGUGCAAGCGUUGUCCGGAAUUAUUGGGCGUAAGGAGCUCGUAGGCGGUCUGUCGCGUCGGAUGUGAAAAUCCAGGGCUCAACCCUGGACCUGCGUUCGAUACGGGCAGACUAGAGGUAUGCAGGGGAGAACGGAAUUCCUGGUGUAGCGGUGAAAUGCGCAGAUAUCAGGAGGAACACCGGUGGCGAAGGCGGUUCUCUGGGCAUUACCUGACGCUGAGGAGCGAAAGUGUGGGGAGCGAACAGG
rnacentral:rRNA from 1 species